GACAUCCUUUGACCGCUCUAGAGAUAGAGUUUUCCUCUUCGGAGGACAAAGUGACAGGUGGUGCAUGGUUGUCGUCAGCUCGUGUCGUGAGAUGUUGGGUUAAGUCCCGCAACGAGCGCAACCCUUGAACUUAGUUGCCAUCAUUCAGUUGGGCACUCUAAGUUGACUGCCGGUGACAAACCGGAGGAAGGUGGGGAUGACGUCAAAUCAUCAUGCCCCUUAUGAUUUGGGCUACACACGUGCUACAAUGGACAAUACAAAGGGCAGCGAAACCGCGAGGUCAAGCAAAUCCCAUAAAGUUGUUCUCAGUUCGGAUUGUAGUCUGCAACUCGACUACAUGAAGCUGGAAUCGCUAGUAAUCGUAGAUCAGCAUGCUACGGUGAAUACGUUCCCGGGUCUUGUACACACCGCCCGUCACACCACGAGAGUUUGUAACACCCGAAGCCGGUGGAGUAACCAUUUUGGAGCUAGCCGUCGAAGGUGGGACAAAUGAUUGGGGUGAAGUCGUAACAAGGUAGCCGUAUCGGAAGGUGCGGCUGGAUCACCUCCUUUCUAAGGA
rnacentral:rRNA from 1 species